rnacentral:rRNA from 1 species
AUUGAACGCUGGCGGCAUGCCUUACACAUGCAAGUCGAACGGUAACAGGUCUUCGGAUGCUGGCGAGUGGCGAACGGGUGAGUAAUACAUCGGAACGUGCCCGAUCGUGGGGGAUAACGGAGCGAAAGCUUUGCUAAUACCGCAUACGAUCUACGGAUGAAAGCAGGGGACCGCAAGGCCUUGCGCGGACGGAGCGGCCGAUGGCAGAUUAGGUAGUUGGUGGGAUAAAAGCUUACCAAGCCGACGAUCUGUAGCUGGUCUGAGAGGACGACCAGCCACACUGGGACUGAGACACGGCCCAGACUCCUACGGGAGGCAGCAGUGGGGAAUUUUGGACAAUGGGCGCAAGCCUGAUCCAGCCAUGCCGCGUGCAGGAUGAAGGCCUUCGGGUUGUAAACUGCUUUUGUACGGAACGAAAAGACUCUUUCUAAUAAAGAGGGUCCAUGACGGUACCGUAAGAAUAAGCACCGGCUAACUACGUG